rnacentral:rRNA from 1 species
CUACGGGGUGCUGCAGUAACGAAUAUUGCGCAAUGGGCGAAAGCCUGACGCAGCGACGCCGCGUGUAGGAUGAAGUUCUUCGGGAUGUAAACUACUGUCAGGGUUAAGAAAGUCUGUCUCCGGAUAGAUUGAUCUACCCCAGAGGAAGUCACGGCUAACUUCGUGCCAGCAGCCGCGGUAAGACGAAGGUGGCAAGCGUUGUUCGGUAUUACUGGGCUUAAAGCGUGUGUAGGCGGAAAGGUAAGCGUUUUGUGAAAUCCCUCAGCUUAACUGAGAAAUUGCUUGACGAACUGCCUUUCUUGAGGAAAGUAGGGGUGUACGGAACUCUUGGUGGAGCGGUGGAAUGCGUAGAUAUCAAGAGGAACGCCAGAGGUGAAGACGGUACACUGGGCUUGAUCUGACGCUGAGACACGAAAGCGUGGGGAGCAAACAGGAUUAGAUACCCUGGUAGUC